AAAAUUUUGUUUAACAACAAAAAAUAAUUUAAGUUGCAUUUAGUCAAAAUAAUUCGCAAUCGAAACAGCUUAAACUACAUCAGGCUAAUUUUGCCUAAAAAACUGCCUAAACAAGAUCCGCCUCUAACAGCUUAUAUGACAUUGAGAGAGGAGAGGGGGAGAAGACAGGGAAGGGGAGGUCUCUGAUAAUUUUAACAUCUGGUUGAGAUUAUAGAUUCACGACAUAGAUAUAAAGAUAAGACAAUAGACAGGAAGAUAGUAACACAUUCUUUACCUCUCUUUCUUAGGACACUCCCCCCAUAAACCCAAACUUCAAACUGUGGGAAAAAAAAAUAUCUCAAAUAGGCAUGUUUUUAGUCUCAUUCUAGCUUGUUUUCUGAAUGACCCCAUGCUGGGCUCUCUGAAAUUUGCUACAUUAAACAAAAGAGCGCCUAUGUUAGUCGCAAGGACUGUCCUAGUCUCCUUUUUAGUCCCGGAUGGUCCACUCGGGAAGACUUCAACUUUUGUGCUGUUUAACAAAUGGUUUAUAUGCAGGGGGUAAAAUUAAAUAUGGAAUUUGAGAAACGUCUUCUAAAUUUUCUUUUUCGUAAUUUAACAAAGCAAUGUUUAAAGUAUUUCAAUUAAAAAAGUUUCUUAGUUUCGAAAUUAUUUUUUGUCAACAAAACUCAUGCCCUAAGCUUACCGUGGGUAACGCUGACAGAGGGAGAACAAUGGCUUUACGGACAAACCUUUUUUUCCCCGAUUUUGGAACAACUGCAAUUGUUUUAAAUGAUUAUAAUUUAUAUUACUAAAGUAAAAGAAUUUUCUCUGCAUGCCCAGAGACCACCUUGGGAGCUAAAGUUUUCAUGAAAUUUGCCCUAAUUAAGUCAAAAACCUAUUACAAAGGGGAAAAUGCUGACAGAGACUAUUCACUGCAACCAGCUUUUAAAAACUAAGCUUCUAAAAGAAUCUGAUAAUAAUAUUUUUCAGGAAUCUGGGGAAAGUGAAAUCUAAUCUAAAUAUGGUUAUCAAUAUGUGAUUACAAAUUUUACUGACCAUCAUUACCGACAGCGGUUGUGCAGAGCAAAUAGACCCAUUUCACUUAAUGAUUGCCAUGAGACUUCUCGAGGUUGAGGAACAUUUCUUAGGGUCUUAGCAGCACUACUGGACCAAACAUUACUGACAUUCAAUCCAUUUAUAGUGUAACAUAGAGUAAUGUAAUGUUUUUGUACUUUUGUGAUAAAAUAAAUUUGAAAAUCAUU